rnacentral:rRNA from 1 species
CCUUACCCACCUUUGACAUGGCAGGAAGUUUCCAGAGAUGGAUUCGUGCUCGAAAGAGAACCUGCACACAGGUGCUGCAUGGCUGUCGUCAGCUCGUGUCGUGAGAUGUUGGGUUAAGUCCCGCAACGAGCGCAACCCUUGUCAUUAGUUGCUACAUUUAGUUGGGCACUCUAAUGAGACUGCCGGUGACAAACCGGAGGAAGGUGGGGAUGACGUCAAGUCCUCAUGGCCCUUAUAGGUGGGGCUACACACGUCAUACAAUGGCUGGUACAGAGGGUUGCCAACCCGCGAGGGGGAGCUAAUCCCAUAAAACCAGUCGUAGUCCGGAUCGCAGUCUGCAACUCGACUGCGUGAAGUCGGAAUCGCUAGUAAUCG